CUUAGCGAUGUGGACAGGAGUCGAAGGACUAGAAUGAGAUCACUGAACUCAUUUCACUUGUUGCUUACGGUACAGUCCAGCAUGAGCUGGAAAUGUAGGAACCUCAGCCUCCCGAGCAGAAAGAUUCAACCAGAUCAGUACCAAAAGACUAUAUGCUAGCAGAAAUCUCAAGACCAUUCCAAGCUUUGUCUUCACCUGGAGGCAGUCUCAGAGAUCCCAAGGUUCCGUGACCAUCAGUCUGUGGCCUGCCCCUUCUCUUUAUUCUCUUGUGCCCUACCACCACUUCUCUGCGGAUUACGCCUUCGAGUUACCCUACCUUUACCAAAUUUCCGAUGCCUCAGAUUAUGAGACCAUGGGUCUUUGCCAAUUAGUAAACCUUCACCACUAA
rnacentral:lncRNA from 1 species